rnacentral:rRNA from 2 species
UAGUAACGGCGAGUGAAGCGGCAACAGCUCAAAUUUGAAAUCUGGCGUCUUUGGCGUCCGAGUUGUAAUUUGCAGAGGGCGCUUUGGCAUUGGCAGCGGUCCAAGUUCCUUGGAACAGGACGUCACAGAGGGUGAGAAUCCCGUACGUGGUCGCUAGCCUUUACCGUGUAAAGCCCCUUCGACGAGUCGAGUUGUUUGGGAAUGCAGCUCUAAAUGGGAGGUAAAUUUCUUCUAAAGCUAAAUACUGGCCAGAGACCGAUAGCGCACAAGUAGAGUGAUCGAAAGAUGAAAAGCACUUUGGAAAGAGAGUUAAAAAGCACGUGAAAUUGUUGAAAGGGAAGCGCUUGCAGCCAGACUUGCCUGUAGUUGCUCAUCCGGGUUUUUACCCGGUGCACUCUUCUACGGGCAGGCCAGCAUCAGUUUGGGCGGUUGGAUAAAGGUCUCUGUCAUGUACCUCCUCUCGGGGAGAACUUAUAGGGGAGACGACAUGCAACCAGCCCGGACUGAGGUCCGCGCAUCUGCUAGGAUGCUGGCGUAAUGGCUGUAAGCGGCCCGUCUUGAAACACGGACCAAGGAGUCUAACAUCUAUGCGAGUGUUUGGGUGUCAAGCCCGAGCGCGUAAUGAAAGUGAACGGAGGUGGGAACCUUUCGGGGUGCACCAUCGACCGAUCCUGAUGUCUUCGGAUGGAUUUGAGUAAGAGCAUAGCUGUUGGGACCCGAAAGAUGGUGAACUAUGCUUGAAUAGGGUGAAGCCAGAGGAAACUCUGGUGGAGGCUCGCAGCGGUUCUGACGUGCAAAUCGAUCGUCAAUUUGGGCAUAGGGCGAA